GUGAAUCAUCGAAUUUUUAAACGCAAAUUGCACUCUCUUCGGAGAGUAUGCCUUUUUGGGGGUCAGCCUAAAAAAAAUCGUCAUAGUUGCUGUUACGCGGUAACAUUCGUCGAUGAUUGGGUCAUCUUAAACCUGUUGGUUUAAGCGGCUUAAAAUUUUCUUUUCGAUUCCAAGAACGUUUCUAAGUUUUUUUUUUA
rnacentral:misc_RNA from 1 species